UACGUAGGUGGCAAGCGUUUGUCCGGAAUUAUUGGGCGUAAAGCGCGCGCAGGCGGUCCUUUAAGUCUGAUGUGAAAGCCCACGGCUCAACCGUGGAGGGUCAUUGGAAACUGGGGGACUUGAGUGCAGGAGAGAAGAGUGGAAUUCCACGUGUAGCGGUGAAAUGCGUAGAGAUGUGGAGGAACACCAGUGGCGAAGGCGGCUACCUGGACCGGUUCUGACGCUGAUGCGCGAAAGCGUGGGUAGCAAACAGG
rnacentral:rRNA from 1 species